CGAUUUGAGGAGGUUCUGAUUAUAGUUUUUGAACAAUUUGGUCCACAUAACUCCUUCCUAUAUCCAAAACUGAGAGGAGAGUAUUAAAGUCAAUUCCCAGGUUCAUGAACAGUUAAAAACAAUCAUCAAACUCUGUUUUGAAAUCCCUCUAGCUUAAUUAAUUGUUGCAUUGAACCCAAAGACUGAUGAUGGCGCUAAAUUGACCAACAGGCUGAAAAAAUGCCGCCUGUUUACAUGUUACAGAUGGAAUCAAAUCUUAGCUAUUUACAAUAAUCCCACAGAAAUGAGUUUUCCCCGGCUAUUUUUUCUACUAUCCUAAGCAAUUAAUGAUUAGAUCCAUCAGAUUCACUGGCUAUUCUAACCAAACAGAUGCUUCCCAAGCUUUUUCUCCUACCAACACUGAUCGGUUUCCCAUUUCCGCCUUGUAUACCUGGAAAACCCAGAAACUGAAGAACUCGUCAUUUUGGUUGCUGUCGCCGACGUUACAAUCGGAGAACUCAUCUGCCGCCCUCGCCAGAACAGCGAGCGGUCAUAAUCGGCUCUUUUCUCGGGAUCGGAAAGAGUUUCAUAAGCUUCGUGUAUUUUUAUGAAUUCGUAAGUUGUCUCCUUACUUUGACUGUUAGUUGCAACAUCAGGAUGCAAAACUCUUGCUAGUCUCCUAUAAGCAGCCUUGAUCUCUUGACACGUGGCGCCCAUCUGAAUCCCAAGAACUUCGUAAAGUGAUCCUGGAGAUGCAAUGUGUGACACAGUUCUCUCGGUGGUCGUGGCGCAAACGGCGGAGACACGAAGUGGACGGAAGCUGACGGUAGAUGGCGGCGAACGGGCACCGUCGAUGGGCAAUCGUGAGCCAAUGAAAUGAGCGGAGGGGCUGAGAAAUGAAAGAGAAGACAAGGACACCAUGAUCAAAUUCAAAACGCUAUGUUUAUUGCUUGUGUAGUUGUGUGUUGGUUAAGAAUAAUCGAUGGACUGCGUAUUGGAUGACCUGGCUAUAUAAAGGGGAGGCGACUCAGGCGAGAGCUUAACUUAACCAUGGUUAGUUGGACUUGGUUAGCGAGUUAAAGGCUUAUCCAUUUGUGUACUCGGAUCUGUCACAUGCUGACUCAGCGAACCGACGGUGUAAAAGAGAAUCUCUAUCCCUCAACCUGACAACCAUAUAAUAACUGACUUUGGAAGUUUAUGAACAUGGAAUCUUUUGGAUGUUUCUCUGACAAUCACUGUCUGCUACGUGUCUAAGC
rnacentral:misc_RNA from 1 species